UACGUAGGGUGCGAGCGUUAAUCGGAAUUACUGGGCGUAAAGCGUGCGCAGGCGGUUUUGUAAGCCAGAUGUGAAAUCCCCGGGCUCAACCUGGGAAUGCCAUUCGAGACUGCAUAGCUAGGGUGCGGAAGAGGGAAGCGGAAUUUCCGGUGUAGCGGUGAAAUGCGUAGAUAUCGGAAGGAACACCAGUGGCGAAAGCGGCUUCCUGGUCCAGCACCGACGUUCAGGCACGAAAGCGUGGGGAGCAAACAGG
rnacentral:rRNA from 1 species